GCGACCCCAGGUCAGGCGGGAUCACCCGCUGAGUUUAAGCAUAUCAAUAAGCGGAGGAGAAGAAACUUACAAGGAUUCCCCUAGUAACGGCGAGCGAACCGGGAAUAGCCCAAC
rnacentral:rRNA from 2 species